rnacentral:rRNA from 1 species
GAUGAACGCUGGCGGCGUGCCUAAUACAUGCAAGUCGAGCGAACAGACGAGGAGCUUGCUCCUCUGACGUUAGCGGCUUACGGGUGAGUAACACGUGGAUAACCUACCUAUAAGACUGGGAUAUCUUCGGGAAGCCGGAGCUAAUACCGGAUAAUAUAUUGAACCGCAUGGUUCCAUAGUGAAAUACGGUUUUGCUGUCACUUAUAGAUGGAUCCGCUCCGCAUUAGCUAGUUGGUAAGGUAACGGCUUACCAAGGCAACGAUGCGUAGCCGACCUGAAAGGGUGAUCGCACACACUGGCACUGAGACACGGUCCAGACUCCUACGGGAGGCAGCAGUAGGGAAUCUUCCGCGAUGGGCGAAAGCCUGACGGAGCAACGCCGCGUGAGUGAUGAAGGUCUUCGGAUCGUAAAACUCUGUUAUUAGGGAAGAACAAAUGUGUAAGUAACUAUGCACGUCUUGACGGUACCUAAUCAGAAAGCCACGGCUAACUACGUG